GACGGAGGAUGCAAGUGUUAUCCGGAAUCACUGGGCGUAAAGCGUCUGUAGGUGGUCAAAUAAGUCAACUGUUAAAUCUUGAGGCUCAACCUCAAAAUCGCAGUCGAAACUAUUCGACUAGAGUAUAGUAGGGGUAAAGGGAAUUUCUAGUGGAGCGGUGAAAUGCGUAGAGAUUGGAAAGAACACCGAUGGCGAAGGCACUUUACUGGGCUAUUACUAACACUGAGAGACGAAAGCUAGGGUAGCAAAUGGG
rnacentral:rRNA from 1 species